UGCGGUUUGUGAAAUUUCUUGGGGUCAACCGAUCUGCGGGGAAGGGGGAUCUGGGGAACGAAGGAUUUGGGGAUUAUUUCUAGGGUUCGUAGCAUAGGCGAUGCUCAAUUGGGGAAGAAAGGCUGCGCUCCAUGCUAGGGUUCCGGCGGGCAAGCUGCUAGAUCGGAGCGCCCGUUUCUCGUCAGGCUCCAAGCUGUUCGUCGGGGGCCUGUCCCAUGACACCAAUGAAGUUGCUCUCAAGGAUGCGUUCUCUCAGCAUGGCGAUGUUAUCCAAGUCAAAGUGAUAUGCCAUCCCGUGACCGGGCAAUCAAAAGGAUACGGUUUCGUCAAGUUCUCCUCGGAAAAAGACGCAGCUGCGGCAUUGGAGAAGAUGAGCGAUGAGGUGCUUGAUGGGAAGAACAUACGGGUGCAUUUUGCAAACAGUGGAUGACCUGCUACUGCUGCUAUAGAUGAGCAAGACAGGAUGUGCAGAGUGAGCCCCUAGCUGUGAGGAUAUGACAACCGACGAUAUGUAUCUGGAAUGGAAAGCACAGUUCAAAAUGGAAAGGCAUUUCGUGUGGAGCUUUUGAGGGAAGCGCACAUCUGAACCUUCAUUCGAGGUCUGUCCUACAAUUCGAAUGAAGUUGCUCUCAAGGACGCCUUCUCUCAGCAUGGCGAUGUUAUCCAAGUGAAAGUAAUAUGCCAUCCUGUCACGGGGAGAUCCAAAGGAUACGUCUUGGUCAAGUUCUCUUCAUAAACUGAAGCAGCCGCGGCGUUGGAGAAGAUGAGUGACGAGGUGCUGAUGGAAAGAAAAUACGGGUGAAUUAUGCAAACAGCGGACAAUCUGCUGCUGUUUCUGCUGCUGCUGCUGCUGCAGAUGAGUAAGGUGCCUAUCCGGAAUCUGUAAUUGUUUCACUGUAAGGCACAUGUACUCUGUAUAUUUACAUAAUCACCAGUAUAUAUUUUAAGUUCAGUCUUAUGACCAACUUCAAAUAGACCGUCCGUCGAUUUGUUUAGCUUUACAUUGCCUGUAGCAUUGUGAUUUUUGAUAACUUAAAUCACAGAAGAACGCCUGACAGCUAAUUCUCUUAUACUAAGACACGAAAUUCAUU